AAGCAACGCGAAGAACCUUACCAGGUCUUGACAUCCCGCUGACCGGGCCAGAGAUGGUCCUUUCCUUCGGGACAGCGGAGACAGGUGGUGCAUGGUUGUCGUCAGCUCGUGUCGUGAGAUGUUGGGUUAAGUCCCGNCAACGAGCGCAACCCCUGACCUUAGUUGCCAGCACGUGAAGGUGGGCACUCUAAGGUGACUGCCGGUGACAAACCGGAGGAAGGUGGGGAUGACGUCAAAUCAUCAUGCCCCUUAUGACCUGGGCUACACACGUGCUACAAUGGCCGGUACAACGGGAGGCGAAGCCGCGAGGCGGAGCGAAUCCUUAAAAGCCGGUCUCAGUUCGGAUUGCUGGCUGCAACUCGCCUGCAUGAAGUCGGAAUUGCUAGUAAUCGCGGAUCAGCAUGCCGCGGUGAAUACGUUCCCGGGUCUUGUACACACCGCCCGUCACACCACGAGAGUCUGCAACACCCGANGNCGGUGAGGUAACCCGUAUGGGAGCCAGCCGCCGAAGGUGGGGCAAAUGAUUGGGGUGAAGUCGUAACAAGGUAGCCGUAUGGGAAAGUGCGGCAUGGAUCACCU
rnacentral:rRNA from 1 species